rnacentral:lncRNA from 1 species
CGGCAAACGAGCCUACAGUUUUAACUACUUCAGUGCAUGGUAUGUGUACUGCAUUUAAAUUGUUAUCUACUAUAUGUUACUUAUGUUUGCUGACAUUGAGUACACAUGGGAUUUGUGACUUCGACGGAAAUGGAGGCGACACCGACCCUGUCCCGGAAUGUAAGGAACCGCAAGGUAUGUGCAUCAAUUACUAUAGAUACAUUUUCAUGUUUUCUUUACUAUUUGAUACUAGCAAAUACGUAAACCCCUUAUGUUUUUACAAUUGUUGUUUUUGUAGUGCAUGGAAGAGGCUUCUCCCCGUUGCCGGUCGAUCAUGACGAAGACGUGGACAACGAAAUGCAAGAGCGGAACGGUACGUGUCUUAAGUAAUGCAUAAUAUUUGAUUUCGUACAUAGAUCUCACUUCAUUCGGAAGUGUGUAUAUUGUUAACCCUAAACGACAAGCAUUUUCUAAUAUUGGGUAUGUUGGUGCUCAUGCGUAGGAGGAGCCGGCAUGGAAUCCGAACCAGCACUGAAUGGUGACGAUGGCGACGUAGCUUCCGGUGGUUCGGGGAAACGUGA